CCCUGGCGGGGUGCCUAUACAUGCAGUCGAACGAGUUCUCGUUGAUGAUCGGUGCUUGCACCGAGAUUCAACAUGGAACGAGUGGCGGACGGGUGAGUAACACGUGGGUAACCUGCCCUUAAGUGGGGGAUAACAUUUGGAAACAGAUGCUAAUACCGCAUAGAUCCAAGAACCGCAUGGUUCUUGGCUGAAAGAUGGCGUAAGCUAUCGCUUUUGGAUGGACCCGCGGCGUAUUAGCUAGUUGGUGAGGUAAUGGCUCACCAAGGCGAUGAUACGUAGCCGAACUGAGAGGUUGAUCGGCCACAUUGGGACUGAGACACGGCCCAAACUCCUACGGGAGGCAGCAGUAGGGAAUCUUCCACAAUGGACGCAAGUCUGAUGGAGCAACGCCGCGUGAGUGAAGAAGGCUUUCGGGUCGUAAAACUCUGUUGUUGGAGAAGAAUGGUCGGCAGAGUAACUGUUGUCGGCGUGACGGUAUCCAACCAGAAAGCCACGGCUAACUACGUGCCAGCAGCCGCGGUAAUACGUAGGUGGCAAGCGUUAUCCGGAUUUAUUGGGCGUAAAGCGAGCGCAGGCGGUUUUUUAAGUCUGAUGUGAAAGCCCUCGGCUUAACCGAGGAAGCGCAUCGGAAACUGGGAAACUUGAGUGCAGAAGAGGACAGUGGAACUCCAUGUGUAGCGGUGAAAUGCGUAGAUAUAUGGAAGAACACCAGUGGCGAAGGCGGCUGUCUGGUCUGUAACUGACGCUGAGGCUCGAAAGCAUGGGUAGCGAACAGGAUUAGAUACCCUGGUAGUCCAUGCCGUAAACGAUGAAUGCUAGGUGUUGGAGGGUUUCCGCCCUUCAGUGCCGCAGCUAACGCAUUAAGCAUUCCGCCUGGGGAGUACGACCGCAAGGUUGAAACUCAAAGGAAUUGACGGGGGCCCGCACAAGCGGUGGAGCAUGUGGUUUAAUUCGAAGCAACGCGAAGAACCUUACCAGGUCUUGACAUCUUUUGAUCACCUGAGAGAUCAGGUUUCCCCUUCGGGGGCAAAAUGACAGGUGGUGCAUGGUUGUCGUCAGCUCGUGUCGUGAGAUGUUGGGUUAAGUCCCGCAACGAGCGCAACCCUUAUGACUAGUUGCCAGCAUUUAGUUGGGCACUCUAGUAAGACUGCCGGUGACAAACCGGAGGAAGGUGGGGAUGACGUCAAAUCAUCAUGCCCCUUAUGACCUGGGCUACACACGUGCUACAAUGGAUGGUACAACGAGUUGCGAGACCGCGAGGUCAAGCUAAUCUCUUAAAGCCAUUCUCAGUUCGGACUGUAGGCUGCAACUCGCCUACACGAAGUCGGAAUCGCUAGUAAUCGCGGAUCAGCACGCCGCGGUGAAUACGUUCCCGGGCCUUGUACACACCGCCCGUCACACCAUGAGAGUUUGUAACACCCGAAGCCGGUGGCGUAACCCUUUUAGGGAGCGAGCCGUCUAAGGUGACAAAUUC
rnacentral:rRNA from 1 species